UAGGGAAUCUUCGGCAAUGGACGGAAGUCUGACCGAGCAACGCCGCGUGAGUGAAGAAGGUUUUCGGAUCGUAAAGCUCUGUUGUAAGAGAAGAACGAGUGUGAGAGUGGAAAGUUCACACUGUGACGGUAUCUUACCAGAAAGGGACGGCUAACUACGUGCCAGCAGCCGCGGUAAUACGUAGGUCCCGAGCGUUGUCCGGAUUUAUUGGGCGUAAAGCGAGCGCAGGCGGUUAGAUAAGUCUGAAGUUAAAGGCUGUGGCUUAACCAUAGUACGCUUUGGAAACUGUUUAACUUGAGUGCAAGAGGGGAGAGUGGAAUUCCAUGUGUAGCGGUGAAAUGCGUAGAUAUAUGGAGGAACACCGGUGGCGAANAAAGCGGCUCUCUGGCUUGUAACUGACGCUGAGGCUCGAAAGCGUGGGGAGCAAACAGGAUUAGAUACCCUGGUAGUCCACGCCGUAAACGAUGAGUGCUAGGUGUUAGACCCUUUCCGGGGUUUAGUGCCGCAGCUAACGCAUUAAGCACUCCGCCUGGGGAGUACGACCGCAAGGUUG
rnacentral:rRNA from 1 species